UUUUACUAUUCGGAUCCGGAUUCGACCCUUCCGGAUGUCCGGAUUUUCGGAUCGGAUCUGGAUCGAAUCUCGGAUCGAAUCCGGAUUUCGGAUAAAAAUCUGAGGCCUAAUUAUAUGUCCAGUCCUCUUGUGGACCAAUUAAUUCGUAAUUUAUUAUGUAUUCUCCACUUUAUCCAAAAAAACUAGUAUCCUCAUUAUUUUAAAUAGGAUGUAUUUGUUAUCUAAUGCCGAUCAAGCGCUACGACUAUUAAUUUUUAUUUACAGACUAACAUAUAAAAAUACAAGGGUCGACGGGAUAUAUACUUGUGAUUUAGAUUAUUAUUUUUUUAUAUGAUUUUGACGUUUGUAUUUUAGAUUUACAUUUUAUUAUUUUGUUAAUUUAAGUUGUUGGUUAGUUUGUUUGUAAGUAAAUUUUAUUUUGAAUUUAUGCUUCUAUGGCAUCAUCAUGAUUGAGUUGUUAUCUCAUUUUUAAUUGAAUAAUUUGUAUCUAAUAACUAAUGUAUAUGACUCUUUUUGAGGUUCUCACCAGCCGUAAAGCCUAUGCAUAAUUUUCCAAAAAGAAAAUCUUAACUUUGGUGAGAAAUUGACAAUAAAAACAUUAGCCAUCUAAUUGGGUUGAAAAUUGUGUUCAUGGGCUAGGAAUGUUGUUCAUGGUGUUCAUCGGUCUCAUUUGUUAAGUUUAUUGUUAGGUGAUACUCGGUCUUGGUAAAAUAAGCUCUAUUGUUUGUUAGGAACAAAUAUGAGCAUCUCUGGACCAUUUCAUGCUUGGUCUUAACUCUUAAACAUAGGAUUUCAGUCGCUGCGUAUGAUCUAAGAAAUGAAUUUGGCCAAUCAUAUUUUAAAAAGAUUAACAAAGCGACAAAAAAGAUACACAGAUCUUCCAAGGUCGUUAUGUCAUAUGUCCUGCAAUUUCGUGAGUAAGAAACAUGUGUAUCAUAGUAACUUUUGCCGAUAUAGGUGUGGAAAAGAAUCAGAACAUAUCAUGCCUAUAUAUUUGAUACUUGGCACCGUCGAAAGUGAAAUCAUAAGGUCGUGGAAUCCUCAGCUUUUUUUUCUUGGAGUGAAAGAAGAGAGAUGGAUCUUUGGCAUAUCCUUACCAAUUCAACUAACCACUGGCUAACCCGUUUCACUUAUUGAAGCAAAUCUGUUCGUUCCAAGCUACCAAUAUAAACCACAAUUUUUAAGCCUUUGCAAACAUGGGCUUUGAUAGAGGAACUGGCUUUUGUUUUGGGUGGCUAAAUUGAAGGAGACGCCAUAGAGAAUUAAGCUAACUAAUUGGAUCAGCGACUUGAAUGGCGGAAACAAUACCAAUGAACAAACCUAUUCUUAAAAACAUCAUCUGUUUCAAACGCCAUUUUUAAAUGCAUACCACUGAACCAUCUCAUCUUCAUUGCUCAUCUCACAUUCCCCCUGGUGCGCUAAUAUCUGUUGCGUUGUGUUCAUCUUCAUUUGCUUUGAUGGUUUUGUCUUACAGUUUCAGAUAGAACCGGAAUAAGAGUUAUUAUUGUUAGCGGAUCAGAGACCACCGCGUUUAGCGCGAUGGGUUCCGAUGAAGAGGUCGCCGGAAUAAGAGCGGAGAAAGAAGAAUAGCUUCUUCUGGGUUGCGAAAGUGCUCCACCCGAUCUCACUGAAAUUACGGCGAGUUAUUCCCCUGUAGAUUUGCUGAAACUUCCAGAUCUCACCGUGGAUGCCUACCGAUAACUGUCUGUACCGGAGGCUCUACCAUGUAAUUAAGCUGCGAAAAAAUCUGAUCCACCAGCGAUUAACAAAUUAAGCUCCCAUAUUACUCUUUGAUAAUGCCCUCAGCUCCGCCGAGUUCGAGUUGGAGCUUGAUACAUUUGAAGAUUAUGGACCUCAUGACCAGUAUAAUUUACAUUUCAAGGCUAAAAAUUUAUUAUAAGUAUUGGAAUCAUAGUUGUAACUGAAUUAUAAAAAGAAAAAGAAAAAGAAAAAAAAUCAAAUUAUCUCUCCCCUCUUCUAUCAUCAGUGGAAGCGAAAGGGGAUUCUGGUGAAGCAGGAAAAAUACUGAUGACGGCGACCGUUUCAACCGAAGCAGAACCGGCGUGUCCUAUGGCAACUUCCAAACUCGUGUGCAAUGAAGUGGACACGUGUCAUCAUGUCUGAUAGUGGUGGGGGAUACGUGGAAUAACUAAUCGACCGGUAAACUGAGUUGGUUAUUGGGCUAAAUUUUAAAUUGUAUUCGGGUUGGAUGGACUUUAAUAUUGCUUAACCAUGUAAUAGCCUUUGGGCUUUUCCAUAAAUAGAAAAUGUUGACAAAAAAAAGUUCUCUCCCCUCUCCAAUCAUCUUCUUCCUAUCUCUUCUUCUCUAUUUAUUAUGUUUCUCAUCUCAUUUCUUCUGUUUGUUAUCACUUUUCUGUCACAAUCUGUUAAGCACAACCAUCGGUUUAAUAGAUCUCUUUUCAUCACUUUUUUGUGUUGUUUAUUAAGAGAAAUGAACUGAUGAUUUUGUUGGAAGAAAAUUUUCAUAUUUUAUAAUAGACCAUUAACACAAAGGAAUGAAUGAAGAGAUUCAUUGAAUGUGAGAUCAUGUGAGAAGUGGAGAAUAGGUAUUAAUGCGAAUGUUAAUGAAAAUGCAUGAACCAAAUUAAUUUCCGUAACGGCGCCAGAUUAAAGAAGUUAAUUCGCCAAAAGCGACUUCCAACUGACAUUGAUCGCAAUCGUUCAUCAUCGGUGAAACUGUUGGAUUUCUAUUGACAGUUAACUGAACGAGAAUUAUUGUACGGCGAUCACUUUCCCUAGGUUUUGUAUACAGUUUUUUAGAGAAGAUGUAUUUGAAAUAUAGUAAACACAUAAAACACAUUAAACUCAAGAAUAAAUCAAAUAUUAAGUUUUGAUUAACCAUGACACGUGUCGCCACCACAGACUCCGACUUAGUGACAUGGAAUCCCAUGUGGAUAGCAUAGGAAUCAAAGAAACUAUUGUUUAUAUAUAUAGAUAGAUAGAUAAAUAAGAAGACCAAAACCAAAUAUUAAAAAAUGAACCAAAAAUAAUUUUAGAUGCACAAAUCUAUUUUGACCCAAAAAAAUACCGAAAUCUCCAUAGAGCAAAAUAUCAAUACACCAUUCCACCUUUCCCUCAACAUCUCAAUUUUAUUAAUUAUGAGCUUGUAUUUUUAAAUAUUUUAUUGGUUCAUUGUCUGUCUCCUUAGAUCUUGAUCAGCCGGUCAUGUAUGACAUAUUUUACUUCUCUAUCUAUGUUUUCCAUGUUAAAUAUUAUUUAUGAUGAGCUAAAAGUUUUGGAACAAAAAUGUGUGAAACCAAAAUGAACAAAUAUUCAUAGAAGUUAGAAUCGAUUUGUUGGUACGUGACGAAGCAAUACAAACUUUCAUACCAUAUAAAUUUAUGUUGAGACAUUUGACUUAGAGUUAAGAUUUAUGAUAAUGUAUCGAAUAAGUAACAUAUGAAAAAUAAUGAUUACUAAUGAUCUUGGUAUAAAAUAUAUACAUAUUAUUACUUUAUGGACUGAUACAAUUGUGGUGACCCAAGUGAUUUAAGAGAAUAAAUGAGCACAGCAAUAUUGAGAGUACAGUUUAUGAAAUGUAAAGCUUGGGACCGCCUUCUACUUCUCUUUGGUUGUCUUUUAUGGGUAUUGACGGUAGAUAAUAACGGCGAUAUGGUCUCCGGCGAGUAUCAAGUAUCCUUAAGAUCGCAUUUACUGUCUGAUCUUCUUUAUGUUUUGGUUUGACCAUGACAGCUCGGCACAUACUAUCCUCUCAUCUCGCGAUAGACAUAUUUUCUUUUUAUCGGGCCUUUGUGAUAAUGGGAUUCUUGGACGGUACGGAUUAAGGUGAAAUCCACUUCCAACAAUAAUCCUCCAGUCCAGCGUGUCCCCGGUCAUCAGCAGGUUGGGUGUUGAUUCUGAUUUGGAUGGUGUUUUUGAGGCCAAAGAUUCAUGAAAACCCCGGUAAAAGACUCCGGUUUAUUAAUUUAGUUGUGAGAUUUGAUUGAUGUAAAUCAAAGGAUUUGAUUUUCCCUUCUUGGAAAGUGAAUCGCCUUUAGCUUGGCAAUCAUUUUCAUUUGUGGUUUCUGAGUCUCGGAAUAUAACUUUCUCGUCUUCUUCCUCGGUUUUUCAUUCUUUUAAUCAAAAGAAAGUGAAUGGUCCUUUUUUUCUUUCUAUAUAUUUUGAUUUUUUUUUGAAUAAUCUUCAUUUUAUUGUCAUGAUUAUAGUCUGAUUGUCCUUCGUCUUCUAUUUUUCAAAUGUUUUAGCAACUAUUUUUAGUUCUUCUCUUUAAUAUUGAGUUUGUAUAUCGAAGUUUCUGUUUUUGUCAAGGUUCAUAAUCUUGAGAUUGUGUUCAGUUGUUAAUUUGAUUUUGUUACUUAUCUUUUUUUUUAUCUAGUGAUGUUUUGCCUUCCGCAUCGUCUUUUGAUGAGCUUUCUCUUAUUUCUUGGGUUUCCCUUUGCGUCUCUGAUCUCCUUAUACAUUUUUGGUUUGUUUGUUCUAUUGAUCUUCUUAUUUCAUCAUGGUGGCCAAAUGUCAUUAUCCCCUCCAGAAGUCGUUUGAGGUGGCUAGGAAAAGAGAAGAAAGAGAUAAGGCCGCUCUUGUGCGGUGAAUCAGAAGGUUGUUCUUGAAAUGGUGGAUGAUAAUGCCAUUUCUCCAAAGGCUGCCAAGCCUAUUUCUCCUGUGAGGAGUGUAGUUUUUCAGGAUUCCAGUGAGAAAAAGCUCUCAAAAUUCUCCGUCACUCUCUGCUUGGAAAAUAAGUGGUAUGAUAAGUGAUUUCCCAUCAUAUGGUAUGUUAUUUGGAUAGACAACUCAUGAUAAGCUAUCGUGUCCUUAUUCCCAAGAUAUAGUAAAUAUGCUUUCUGUCUAAAACACAGACGGACAACUGGUGGUUUUACUGUCACAAGAGAUUUUUAUCCCACGAUCAUCCAUAUCGUAAGAAAUAUGACAUUGUUUAGGAAUAACAAGAAGGUGUUUGACAGUUCACCUUCUGAAUUAAGUGGCAGUGAUUGGGUAAACAGUUAAGAGAAAAUACUUAUAAAUGUUUAGUAAUAAUUUAUAAAAUACUUAAUAUAAGUUCUUUUGCUUCUUUAAUUAAGAAAAUAUUUGUAAAAAUAUUCUUUUAAUGAAGACAAACAUGAUGGUACAAACACAAGAGGUAAACUUGAAAUUUUCCCCCAAAAUAUUUGGUUUCACAUUUUUUUUAAUAAUAAUCAUGAUUUCAUUUUUGUUAUUUUAAAUAAAAAUUUCCUUAGUUGAGCGAUUAAUUUUGGACUUAUGUGGCUACUAGAGUUUGGUUUCAACGAAUUUGAAGCUCUUUAUACUCGGUCCCUUGGAUUAAUUGACGUGACAGUGAUCCAAUGAUUAUCUCCUGCCUACACUGGUGAUAAUGGAUGUAGCAAACCUGAAAAAAAAAAAAAAGCGUUGCUUGAGUAAAACAUUUAAGGUCGAUAGAAACGUCUGGAAGAAUAGCAUAAUAAACAUUUCUUUUAGAGGAAGCCACAAAAAAAAAAACCCCCAGUUAGAAUUUCUCUCUAGUCUCCCGUCGUCACUCUCUCUCAACAGAAACUGCAAACAAUAUCUGUAAAUGCAAUGUGAGGGAGGAUCAACGAAGACGAACAAGAAUGGUGGCUGCAGCAAUCUCCAGAGGCAAACACGUACGUUCCUUCUCGGUACUUAUCUCCCUCCACAACAACAUCUAGAAGCUUAGUCUGUGGCAGUUGUAGAGGAAAGCUGGGAUCUGGCCGUAUGUGAUGAUGAUUGAUGAGAGUCCUAGGGUUUCUGUUAAUGGAAGGUUGAGUCUAUAUAUGGAAACUGGAGAAGACCAAACAUCUGUUUCUUCUGAUAGCUCUGGUAAUAGCCAAAAAUUAGCUUCUGGCAAGAGACUAAUACCCGGUUGCAAGAGGAUCCGGCCUCUCCUUUAUCCACCAACCCGGGUUUGAAAACAACUGCUGUUCCUUUAGCGUCUCCUCUUGGCAUGGCUUCUCCUGUAAGAUGUGCUGCUCAUCCCUUCUCGAGUGAAGAAUGGGGUUUCAGAUCAGAUGAACUCUUCUUAUAACCGCAACAACACCGACUUCGAUACUUAGUUUCUCUGCUGAUGUUAGGAGAGGGAAGAUUGUGUUAUGGAUUCAUAUUUGUUGAGGCUUCUCUCUAACCGUUACCUGCAGUGGCGGUUUGUCAAUGCGAGGGGCAGAGUCUACUUCAAAUGGUGCAAAGAUUCAGUGCAGAGAAAAACCUGUGGAAUGCAUGGGUAUCAAUCACAUUAAAGCGAAUCAAGUUGCUUUUGCUAAGGCAGAAAUUGAAACUGGCUUCUAUUCUGAAGGGACAGGUAAGAAAGUGAACUCUUUUUUAGUUUUAACUAUGUCUUAAUUAGGGUUUGUUUCUUUCUAUUUUGAGAAAGAAGACAGAUAUUCUGUGGAAUUCGGCUUAGUGAUUCCUUCUUGCUGUAGCAACAAAAUAAAGUAUUGGAUGCAACUUAAUGAUUGCAGAAUGGUAGUUCUACUGUGACAUUGAGCAAAUGAAUCUGGACUCUAGUCAGUUAUUUAUGUG